AGAUCAUGUUGUGGGCAAUUGCGAAGUAAUCCCUUAUAAUGUUCCCACAGUUCAUAUAAGGAUUCUCCAUCUAGUUGAUGGAAAUUCUGGAUUUUCUUUUUCAACUU